rnacentral:rRNA from 1 species
UACGAGUGCCUCGAGCGUUAUCCGGAAUCAUUGGGCGUAAAGGGUGUGUAGGUGGUACUGUUAGUCUCCUGUAAAAUCUUUCGGCUCAACCGAGAGUCUGCGGGGGAAACGGCAGUACUUCGAGGACGGGAGAGGUCUCUGGAACUCAUGGUGUAGCGGUGAAAUGCGUUGAUAUCAUGGGGAACACCAAAAGCGAAGGCAAGAGACUGGCCCGCUCCUGACACUGAAACACGAAAGCGUGGGUCGCGAAUGGG